GUGUGUUCACGUGUUGUUUGAAGAUUGUGGUCCAACUUUGCUCCACACCGGACGCGGGGCCGUAACACGUGAUAUGUUUGCUCGCAGUUCAAAGAGAGUUGCUGCAGCGUUUUCACAGGGUUUUAUUUGCAGGUGAUCCGGUGCUGAGCAGAAACCCGGUGAUGCUGCGGUUCAGCCUCCGCCCAGCGGGGGAGCUGUUUCACUCUUCAACUUGUUAAGUCACCUGAUUCAUGAACAUCAUUUCCUGUUUAAUCUGCCUUGGCCUUCUCAUUGUUUUCACAAACACCUGUGCCCUGUAAAGACUCCUCCAUCAACAUCACCACAUGAAGGCGGCGCUGCUCGGUGACGAGGCUCGGGGGAGCUCGCGGUCCCCACUCCUUGCCCCUCAGCCGACGGCUAACGGAGCGCGCCGGCGGAUUCGACGGGGGCAAAGUUUUUUCCUGGCUGCGCGGCGGCGCGUCGCCCCCUCGGCCGCGUCGCCGCGUGCGCUGCUGUCCCGCAGUGUCGAGGGUCCACGUCAGCGGCGGUCGACGGCGCCGAGGACAACACGAGCGGCGUCAUUAGACGUCAUUCCACUUUAAAUGCUGCAAAUGUGAAACAGAAAAUUCCUCAGCGCCACCUCUGGAUUCUUCAGUAUCAGUUUGAGCCCGAAGUGUGACCUCAUUACUUUACAUUCUCACUAACUUGUGCUGAGCACCUACCACGUGCCCCCGCAGACGCUGCAGCGCAUUUAACGCAGCGUGGACUGCGGAAAUAAGCAGAGGAGUCAAUGUUGAUUAUUGCUCAUUAGCGAGGAGAACAUCCACUUAACGUGCGAGGAGUGGAGCGACACACCAUGCCCCACUGGAAGCCGUCCCCGAGUAGCUCAGAGCGAAAUGUUGGCCUAAUGCAUUCCAUUUGCUCUUUGUAACCGGGAACAGGUUGGACACGUAUGGCGACAUAAGCACGCGUGAUUACUUUGUUUCUGCUGAGGCAUUUUAAUCCCUAAUUUCAUGCACUGAUCAGAGGAGAGACCCUGAGCUCUAGACGCGAUCACUGGCCCUUCAGUAGCAUUUCAAUUGAAACCUCAUGAUCAAGAAGAGGCUUGUUCUGGGCCCCUGAGGAGCAAACAUCCUGUGAACAGUGAGGAAAUACGCAUCUUUAUUUAUAAUAAGCUUCGGCAGUAAUUCAUAAUAAAGUUCACUUGGUUCAGAUGUGCGCAGCUGCCUUUCAGUCCAACUUUGACUCAUUUAAAAAAUCUAACAACACUUUGAAAUUAUUCUAAGUUGUAUUGUUUUGACUUAUCUCUUUCUAAGUGUUAUUCAUAUAAAUAAUGCAAUAUUUUAAAGUUCUUUUAAAUUCUCUUUUAACAUUAAAUGAGAUGUAAACACUUAAUUUCCCUUUUUAUUAUACAAUUAUGGAUCGUCCGUGUUAACGUGUAAUGCUGGUCAUUUAAAGCAUAGUCACAAGUACGUGGAAAAAUGUACAGAGAAAAUACAAUUACAUCAAUCAGCUGCUUGAUGCCUUUUAUGAAUAUGCAUGGGAGGAUAAUUUAUUGGGCAGGAAGGCAGCGGGGGAGCGGAGAGGCGAGGAGCUGGGGUUUGUUUAACGCAUAUAAACCUAGAGAGGACACGGCUCGAGCGAAUCAGCGCUUUUCAUGUGCCCGUGCUGCUCUGAAUUGUACACAUUCAAAGACAUUGUCCUCGGCGACCAUCUGAGCCUAGUCGAGGAAUGUGUGACAGAUUGUGUGUCUGGAUGCGUUUUUUUUUUUUACAUAAAUGUAAUCAUAAAUACGAGCCCACUUUUUAUAACCAUGGCAAUACAUGAAAUCUAUGAAUUUUUUAAAUAUAGAUAAAAACCAUGACAACAUCAAAAAGGGAUUGUAUCCUGUUUAAUAGUAGCUUAUGAAAAACGCUUGUAAUAUAUUUAUAAAAUAUUUUAAUUUUAUUUUAAACAUAUUCCCUACAUAUUUUAAAAAAUAGUACUAAUAAGACUUUGUUGUAAUAACUUUUGAAGAAAUGAAGAAUAAAACGAAUUUUGAAAAUAGAACAUCUUGUUUUUUUUCUUUCCUUU